GACACUGUGUGUUGUUGGGUAGGGGAGCGUUCUGUAAGCCUGUGAAGGUGGCCUGUGAGGGUUGCUGGAGGUAUCAGAAGUGCGAAUGCUGACAUAAGUAACGAUAAAGCGGGUGAAAAGCCCGCUCGCCGGAAGACCAAGGGUUCCUGUCCAACGUUAAUCGGGGCAGGGUGAGUCGACCCCUAAGGCGAGGCCGAAAGGCGUAGUCGAUGGGAAACGGGUUAAUAUUCCCGUACUUGGUGUUACUGCGAAGGGGGGACGGAGAAGGCUAUGUUGGCCGGGCGACGGUUGUCCCGGUUUAAGCGUGUAGGUGUGUGUUCCAGGUAAAUCCGGUUCACUUUAACACUGAGGCGUGACGACGAGGCACUACGGUGCUGAAGCAACAAAUGCCCUGCUUCCAGGAAAAGCCUCUAAGCAUCAGGUAACAUCAAAUCGUACCCCAAACCGACACAGGUGGUCAGGUAGAGAAUACCAAGGCGCUUGAGAGAACUCGGGUGAAGGAACUAGGCAAAAUGGUGCCGUAACUUCGGGAGAAGGCACGCUGACACGUAGGUGAAGUGAUUUACUCAUGGAGCUGAAGUCAGUCGAAGAUACCAGCUGGCUGCAACUGUUUAUUAAAAACACAGCACUGUGCAAACACGAAAGUGGACGUAUACGGUGUGACGCCUGCCCGGUGCCGGAAGGUUAAUUGAUGGGGUCAGCGCAAGCGAAGCUCCUGAUCGAAGCCCCGGUAAACGGCGGCCGUAACUAUAACGGUCCUAAGGUAGCGAAAUUCCUUGUCGGGUAAGUUCCGACCUGCACGAAUGGCGUAAUGAUGGCCAGGCUGUCUCCACCCGAGACUCAGUGAAAUUGAACUCGCUGUGAAGAUGCAGUGUACCCGCGGCAAGACGGAAAGACCCCGUGAACCUUUACUAUAGCUUGACACUGAACAUUGAGCCUUGAUGUGUAGGAUAGGUGGGAGGCUUUGAAGUGUGGACGCCAGUCUGCAUGGAGCCGACCUUGAAAUACCACCCUUUAAUGUUUGAUGUUCUAACGUGGACCCGUGAUCCGGGUUGCGGACAGUGUCUGGUGGGUAGUUUGACUGGGGCGGUCUCCUCCUAAAGAGUAACGGAGGAGCACGAAGGUUGGCUAAUCCUGGUCGGACAUCAGGAGGUUAGUGCAAUGGCAUAAGCCAGCUUGACUGCGAGCGUGACGGCGCGAGCAGGUGCGAAAGCAGGUCAUAGUGAUCCGGUGGUUCUGAAUGGAAGGGCCAUCGCUCAACGGAUAAAAGGUACUCCGGGGAUAACAGGCUGAUACCGCCCAAGAGUUCAUAUCGACGGCGGUGUUUGGCACCUCGAUGUCGGCUCAUCACAUCCUGGGGCUGAAGUAGGUCCCAAGGGUAUGGCUGUUCGCCAUUUAAAGUGGUACGCGAGCUGGGUUUAGAACGUCGUGAGACAGUUCGGUCCCUAUCUGCCGUGGGCGCUGGAGAACUGAGGGGGGCUGCUCCUAGUACGAGAGGACCGGAGUGGACGCAUCACUGGUGUUCGGGUUGUCAUGCCAAUGGCACUGCCCGGUAGCUAAAUGCGGAAGAGAUAAGUGCUGAAAGCAUCUAAGCACGAAACUUGCCCCGAG
rnacentral:rRNA from 1 species